AUGGGUGAUAUUGAGAAAGGCAAGAAGAUUUUUGUUCAGAAGUGUGCCUAAUGUCACACCUUGGAAAAGGGAGGCAAGCACAAGACUGGGCCAAAUCUCCAUGCUCUCUUUGGGCAGAAGACAAGUCAGGCCACUGGAUUCUCUUACAAAGAUGUCAGCAAGGACAAAGACAUCGCCUGGGGAGAGGAUACACUGAUGGAGUAUUUGGAGCGUUCCAAGAAGUACAUCCCUGGAACAAAAAUGAUCUUCACUGGCAUAAAGAAAAAGGCAGGAAAAGCAGACUUGAUAGCUUAUCUCCAAAAAACUGCUAUGAGUAAUGAUUGGCCACUGCCUUAUUUAUUACAAAACAGAAAUGUCUCAUGACUUAUUUAUGUGUACCAUAAUUUAUUGAUCUCAUACAUCAGAGCUCAGAUCAUGAAUGAAUGACAGAAUAUUUUUGUUAGACAGUCCUGAUUUAACUAAGACUGGCUUGCGGUUAAAUGAAUAUGAUCGGUUUUUUGAAUUUUGAUAGUAAUUCCAAUUCAGUAAAUGCUGUCACUAUUUUAUUUUCCCCUUCUAAAGCUAUGAUUGGACUUGAUUAGUAAUGUUCAACUUUUCACAAAGAUGGUAAAUUGCCAUCUCAGAAUCUGAAGAUUGGUUUUAUAUUUAGAUUUAUAUAACUAGUUAUGUAAAUAUAUUUAAAUACUAGGCAAAUCCCUUCACUAUCUCAGAACCAAGCAAGACUCACUGGUGUUUUUU